GAUGACCAGUCUGACCAGUCUGACCAGUCUGACCAGUCUAACCAGUCUGACCAGGAUGACCAGUCUGACCAGGAUGACCAGGAUGACCAGUCUGCCUUGUACCAACCACCAAUGAACCAGUCAUGGGACAACAAACUGAGAAAGGCAAUGCAAAUGAGUGGUUUGUACCAAAAGCACCCUCUGGAUUGUGAUCUGCUGGCUGGAUUUGCCAAAUAUCUCCGCGACGACCACAACAUUCCCAAUUUCAAACAGGAGGUUGCAAAUGUGUCUAGGUUCUUGUUUUACAUGGACUCCAUCAAACCUUCCCUGGAUUUUGUCAAUCAAUUGGAGAAAAGCAGGUCCUUUUUUACCAAGCUUGCAAACAUUGGACAGAAGAAGCAAACAAUUGCAAACUACAUGAAGAAUCUGAAGAGGUUUCUUCGCUACAUCACGACGUCAACAAACCUCAUCCAGACAGACAGGAGCUUGUAUGAGCAAUGCAAGCAUUUCCAAGGCUGCCUGAACGACUUACAGAAGUCCACUGAAUAUGGACAUUUUAACGCUUUCCUGAUGGAAUUAUUCAUAUUGUUUUAAUUAUCUUGUAGGAUCAAGCUGCUCUUCCAGAAGGAGUGUGACAUGACGGUCGCCUCUAGCUACUUUUCCAAGUGUUGAGAAGCCAUGUUAGACGACAAUCCCCCAAUUACAAAAGAUCCGAAUUGGGCUGCCCCCGUGUAAACGCAGCCGUGGUGUGUAACAUGUAUAUCUCACCAGCUUCAUGUUCACAAAGUACACCGGAAUAGAAUGUAGCGUGUAGAAAGAAUAAACACGAACAUUACAUUGA